rnacentral:rRNA from 1 species
AUACGUAGGGGGCGAGCGUUGUCCGGAAUGAUUGGGCGUAAAGGGCGCGUAGGCGGCGCGGUAAGUCUGGAGUGAAAGUCCUGCUUUCAAGGUGGGAAUUGCUUUGGAUACUGUCGCGCUUGAGUGCAGGAGAGGUUAUCGGAAUUCCCGGUGUAGCGGUGAAAUGCGUAGAGAUCGGGAGGAACACCAGUGGCGAAGGCGGGUAACUGGGCUGCAACUGACGCUGAGGCGCGAAAGUGUGGGGAGCAAACAGGAUUAGAUACCCUGGUAGUCCACACUGUAAACGAUGAAUGCUAGGUGUAAGAGGUAUCGACCCCUUUUGUGCCGGAGUCAACACAAUAAGCAUUCCGCCUGGGGAGUACGGCCGCAAGGUUGAAACUCAAAGGAAUUGGCGGGG